rnacentral:rRNA from 1 species
GACAGAAAGACCCUAUGAAGCUUUACUGUAGCUUGGAAUUGGAUUUGGGCUCUUCUUGCGCAGUAUAGGUGGGAGGCUAKGAAAGCAAGUUUGAGGAUUUGCUGGAGCCAUCAAUGAGAUACCACUCUAGAAAAGCUAAAAUUCUAACUUUGAGCCGUGAGCCGGCCAAAGAACAGUUUCAGGUGGGCAGUUUGACUGGGGCGGUCGCCUCCCAAAAGGUAACGGAGGCGUGCAAAGGUUCCCUCAGGCUGGUCGGAAAUCAGUCGAAGAGUGUAAAGGCAUAAGGGAGCUUGACUGCRAGACCUACAAGUCGAGCAGAGACGAAAGUCGGCCUUAGUGAUCCGACAGUUCCGAGUGGAAGGGCUGUCKCUCAACGGAUAAAARUUACUCUAGGGAUAACAGGCUGA